rnacentral:rRNA from 1 species
UACGUAGGGGGCAAGCGUUAUCCGGAUUUACUGGGUGUAAAGGGAGCGUAGACGGCAGUGCAAGUCUGAAGUGAAAGGCGGGGGCCCAACCCCCGAACUGCUUUGGAAACUGUGCUGCUGGAGUGCAGGAGAGGCAAGUGGAAUUCCUAGUGUAGCGGUGAAAUGCGUAGAUAUUAGGAGGAACACCAGUGGCGAAGGCGGCUUGCUGGACUGUAACUGACGUUGAGGCUCGAAAGCGUGGGGAGCAAACAGG